rnacentral:rRNA from 1 species
AAUGGGCGAAAGCCUGACGCAGCAACGCCGCGUGGGUGACGAAGGCCUUCGGGUUGUAAAGCCCUGUCAGAUGGGAAGAACGGUUCGGUUAACAGCCGAAAUUGACGGUACCAUCAAAGGAAGCACUGGCUAACUCCGUGCCAGCAGCCGCGGUAAUACGGAGAGUGCAAGCGUUGUUCGGAAUCAUUGGGCGUAAAGCGCGUGUAGGCGGUUUUUUAAGUCUGAUGUGAAAGCCCUCGGCUUAACCGAGGAAGUGCAUCGGAUACUGGAAGACUUGAGUACGGGAGAGGAAAGUGGAAUUCCCAGUGUAGAGGUGAAAUUCGUAGAUAUUGGGAGGAACACCAGUGGCGAAGGCGGCUUUCUGGACCGAUACUGACGCUGAGACGCGAAAGCGUGGGUAGCAAA